CUUGCCGGGCUGUGUUGGCUGCUGCCCUCUAGUGGCGACCAGAGGAGCUGGCGAGGACCGAAGCCAGGUUCAUCGCUUAUGGAAAGCAGUUUUGAGAGACAGUGGGGACCCCACUACCCGACUCAUGAAGGCCAGCUCCAGGGGGUCCUCCCAUGACAGGAAUUCCUGAUGAGAAGAAAAGGUGCAGCUCUCUCUGACAAGCUGGCUCCUCUCCUCAGAAAAAAGAAAGAAACAAAGAGAAGAGGAUGACAUUGAAUGUAUCAGAGAACUAAGAAACUUCUGCCAGCCUGAGCAACUUCUCCAGCCAGGGCGACAGAGCAAGACCAUGUCUCAAAAAAACAAACAAAUGAAAAAAGAAAUUUCUGGAUGAGGAGGAUGCUAGCUCUACAUUCCACUUCACAACCAGGCCCUACAUCAGCCUAUAUUUGAAUACCAUGGCAAUUCACUACCCCACGAUCUGUGAGGAAAUUUUUCCUUACACUAAACAGAUUGGUCCAGUUUCCACACUUGGGACUGCCAGAAAAAGCCUAUAUAUCUAAUAUAAUUUAUUAUAAAUAGA